rnacentral:rRNA from 1 species
AUUGAACGCUGGCGGCAGGCCUAACACAUGCAAGUCGAGCGGAUGAAGGGAGCUUGCUCCUGGAUUCAGCGGCGGACGGGUGAGUAAUGCCUAGGAAUCUGCCUGGUAGUGGGGGAUAACGUCCGGAAACGGGCGCUAAUACCGCAUACGUCCUGAGGGAGAAAGUGGGGGAUCUUCGGACCUCACGCUAUCAGAUGAGCCUAGGUCGGAUUAGCUAGUUGGUGGGGUAAAGGCCUACCAAGGCGACGAUCCGUAACUGGUCUGAGAGGAUGAUCAGUCACACUGGAACUGAGACACGGUCCAGACUCCUACGGGAGGCAGCAGUGGGGAAUAUUGGACAAUGGGCGAAAGCCUGAUCCAGCCAUGCCGCGUUUGUGAAGAAGGUCUUCGGAUUGUAAAGCACUUUAAGUUGGGAGGAAGGGCAGUAAGUUAAUACCUUGCUGUUUUGACGGUACCAACAGAAUAAGCACCGGCUAACUUCGUG